AACGCGAAGAACCUUACCAGGGCUUGACAUCCUACUAACGAAGCAGAGAUGCAUUAGGUGCCCUUCGGGGAAAGUAGAGACAGGUGGUGCAUGGUUGUCGUCAGCUCGUGUCGUGAGAUGUUGGGUUAAGUCCCGCAACGAGCGCAACCCUUAUCGUUAGUUGCUACGCAAGAGCACUCUAGCGAGACUGCCGUUGACAAAACGGAGGAAGGUGGGGACGACGUCAAAUCAUCAUGCCCUUUAUGUCCUGGGCUACACACGUACUACAAUGGCGGUUAACAGAGGGAGGCAAACCCGCGAGGGGGAGCGAAACCCUAAAAACCGUCUCAGUUCAGAUCGCAGGCUGAAACCCGCCUGCGUGAAGGUGGAAUUGCUAGUAAUCGCGGAUCAGCAUGCCGCGGUGAAUACGUUCCCGGGUCUUGUACACACCG
rnacentral:rRNA from 1 species